rnacentral:lncRNA from 1 species
UCAUGCAAACCAAGUGAUAUUCGUCAAAGUUUGGAUAGAAAACAACACAAAUCAUCUGUACUUAGCAUGCAAAUUUAGUCUAGUAUAACAAUGUCUCAAAUUAGACUAGAUCCUAAAUGUCCAACAAGUUUUUUAUCGGCGGAUCAUGUCGUUCCACACAUAUUCCUUUUUCAACUUUAUCCAAUAAUGUUUACACGAAAUUGUGGUCACUCUUUCAUAUGGUACGUAAUUAUGCAU